UCUAGAGAAUUUGUUGGAUUUAUCCGACAUAUUUAAAAGAAGUAGUGACCUUUAGAAAGACUUGAGACAAGCGUUUUAUUCAUGAGCUGUCAUUUUUUUUAUUAUAAAGUAUAACACCAAGCACCAAUAAAGUAGAGUCUCGUAGCUCAGCUGGUUAGAGCGCUACACUAAUAAUGUAGAGGUCGGCAGUUCGAGUCUGCCCGAGACUACUUUUUUUUUGGGGAGUUUUUUGGGAUCCAUUCAAUUUUAGUGUUUGGAUCGGUUAUAAUAAGGAAAUUCUAGGAGCUAGAUGUAAUUACGAAUUAGGUAGAUUACUAAUUGCUGAUUACUGUUUACUGGUUUUUUAGUAAAGGGGGGAUUAGCUCAGCUGGCUAGAGCGCUUGAUUUGCAUUCAAGAGGUCAUCGGUUCGACUCCGAUAUUCUCCACGAUUCUAUAGAUUAGUAUAGUUUAAGAUGUUCAUUUGUUAUCCAACAUUUAGUGUUCAUUAUAGAUUAAGCUAGUUGUUUGAUUAGAAAGACGUUCAUUGACAUAUUGAAAGAUACAAAAAGUAUCAAUUUAUUUUUUUUACUAGU
rnacentral:tRNA from 1 species